GCUUGACGACAAUGACAUACUGACUGAUGUUUUCCUUUAAGGUGCAAUGCACGAAUUAACCACAUGAGGACGUCGUUGUUCCAACAGCGAUAUUGGCGGAAAGCGCGUAACGUUUCAAGAUGGGCAAAAAGAACAAGAAAGGAACAGGAAGGAGCCUGCAUGAAAACUUGAGGUGUCAUCGAAGAAGCUUCGACUCAGCAAGAGAGUAGACUGCUGCUUUCCACAUACGUGUUAUUUUUAUGUAUUGCGCAAGGUGACACACACUCACACCCACACACACACACACACACGCGCACACACAAACACGUACCUGUCAUUGAGGUGCAGGAGACGAGAGAGUUGAGCACGUCGCUGCUUGUUGACGUAGAUGUUGAAGAGGAAUUCUUUCUCCAGCUCUCUGAUCUACUGCUUGGAGUAAGGGCAACGCUUCUUACUCCUCGCUGCAGAUGCGACACAAUAACGCAUUUGUCACAGUUCAACAAAGAGAAUAUCGGGACGUUUUGGUCACAUUUGAAAGCAGAGGAAACGUUGUAAUUCUGAAAGGGAGUGCAGAAUGAGCAGGUUUUUUUUGGGCGCAUUGAUAUUAAUGAACUUAAAAUGCAGUUUUGCUCUUAUUUUUAAAAAUUACCAUUCAAAAUAUAAUAUUGAAAUAAUAUUAUUUCUCAUUUUUACUUUACUUGAAAAUAUAAUUCAGACCUUAUCAUUUCGUCUCAACGUACCUGUAUUUUGAUUUUUUUUUUGUAAACCACGUUUCUUAAAAUUAGUAUUCUCUUUUGGUAUUCAAUCUUUUAUGGAAAACAUUUUGAAAAAUAAAUAUUGACUUUAUAAUUUACUGAAAUAAUAAUGGACCUCAAUUAGACUGCCUAAAAUAUAGCAGCCGACUUAAGUUUUGUCUCGAAAUAUUUUGGUAUAAACUUAUUUGUAUUAUUUAAAUACAACAGUUGACUUGUUCAUUAACGCGUUUUACAUAAAGCAGAGUAGGCUAGUCACGUUUGGUCUUGAAAUGUUUUGAUUUAAAAUGGUUUCAUUUGACAGCAUUCAAAAACAAUAUUAAAAGCAGUCACACUUGUUUGGUCUUUCAUCAUUUUAGAAUCAUUUUUAUUUUGGUGAGUUUUAGGAUAACCUUAUAGUUGACUGAAUUUGUAUUUUCACCCGUUUAUUAAAUAUUUGAAAGAUA